rnacentral:rRNA from 1 species
CCGGCGACCGGCGCACGGGUGAGUAACACGUAUGCAACCUGCCCGUCUCAGGGGGAUAAUCGUCGGAAACGGCGUCUAAUACCCCGUAUGAAGCUGGACGGCAUCGUCUGGUUUUGAAAGAAUAUCGGAGACGGAUGGGCAUGCGGCGCAUUAGCUAGUUGGCGGGGUAACGGCCCACCAAGGCGACGAUGCGUAGGGGUUCUGAGAGGAAGGUCCCCCACACUGGUACUGAGACACGGACCAGACUCCUACGGAAGGCAGCAG